rnacentral:rRNA from 1 species
CCUACGGGAGGCAGCAGUGGGGAAUAUUGGACAAUGGGGGGAACCCUGAUCCAGCCAUGCCGCGUGUGUGAAGAAGGCCCUCGGGUUGUAAAGCACUUUCAGUGAGGAAGAACGCCUGGUGGUUAAUACCCAUCAGGAAAGACAUCACUCACAGAAGAAGCACCGGCUAACUCCGUGCCAGCAGCCGCGGUAAUACGGAGGGUGCGAGCGUUAAUCGGAAUUACUGGGCGUAAAGCGCGCGUAGGUGGCUUGAUAAGCCGGUUGUGAAAGCCCCGGGCUCAACCUGGGAACGGCAUCCGGAACUGUGAAGCUAGAGUGCAGGAGAGGAAGGUAGAAUUCCCGGUGUAGCGGUGAAAUGCGUAGAGAUCGGGAGGAAUACCAGUGGCGAAGGCGGCCUUCUGGACUGACACUGACACUGAGGUGCGAAAGCGUGGGUAGCAAACAGGAUUAGAUACCCCAGUAGUC